AUAUGUUUAGAGGCCCUCAGACAGGCCGUGACAGCAUGCAGCCCUGGUUGCUUAGCUGCUUUUUCUCGGUCUGCCUCUUCCAGACCCUUUUAACUGCUAUGUUAGCCAAGUCCAGUCCAGUUUAGUCAGUAUUUUAACCAAUAUUUUUGUGCUGUGUUUCAUUUAAUAAUUGAUCUUUGUUUUAUUUGUUUUCCAAGACAGGGUCUGAUUCUGUAGCACUCACUCUGUAGACCAGCUGGCCUCUGCUCCCAAGGGUGGGCUUAAAGGCGGGCACCGUUAUACUUAGCGAUUUUCCUGGGUUGUUUUUUUUUUUUUUUUUUUCUUUCUUUUAAAUUGGUUGCUCUUUAAAACUGUUUUCAAUUUAGGACAGGUAGAAAAUGUACAGUUACAGGGACGUUUGCCAUUUCAUGAGAUGAAAUGGAUGCUCAUGAACUAGAAGCUUAAGAAUAAUAUCCAUGGGACAGAGCCCCUCCAUUCAGAAUUAGAAUCUAUGACUCAUCUGUCUGUAUUUUAUCUAAAUACCAUGCAAUGAACUCCCGCAUAUUUUAACUGUAUAGCAAAUGAACUUUGUAUUAGAAGAGAACUUCAUUUUCUUUCAUAGCAUUUUGCAAAAAUUCAGUCUAAACAUACCAGAUGUUUCAGAUUUGAGAAGAUUUAAAUCAGAGUCUUUUAAAGUACAAGCAUGGAAGCCAGGGGUGGUGGCAAACAUCUUUAAUCCCAGCAUUUAGAAAGCAGAGGCUGGCAGAUCUCUGAUUUCUAAGGCAGCCUAGUCUACAGAGUGAGUUAUGGGACAGCCAGUACUACAUGAGAUCCUAUCUCAAACAAGCC
rnacentral:lncRNA from 1 species